rnacentral:rRNA from 1 species
GUCGAACGUGAAAGCACUUCGGUGUGAGUAGAGUGGCGGACGGGUGAGUAACGCGUGGGAAUCUACCCAGUAGUGGGGGACAACUACCGGAAACGGUAGCUAAUACCGCAUACGCCCUAUGGGGGAAAGGCUUCGGCCGCUAUUGGAUGAGCCCGCGUCAGAUUAGCUAGUUGGUAGGGUAAAGGCCUACCAAGGCAACGAUCUGUAGCUGGUCUGAGAGGACGAACAGCCACACUGGGACUGAGACACGGCCCAGACUCCUACGGGAGGCAGCAGUGGGGAAUAUUGGUCAAUGGGCGAAAGCCUGAUCCAGCAAUGCCGCGUGUGUGAAGAAGGCCUGCGGGUUGUAAAGCACUUUCAGUUGGGAAGAUGAUGACGUUACCAACAGAAGAAGCACCGGCUAAAUCCGUGCCAGCAGCCGCGGUAAUACGGAUGGUGCGAGCGUUAAUCGGAAUUACUGGGCGUAAAGCGCGCGUAGGCGGCUAAGUCAGUCAGAAGUGAAAGCCCCGGGCUCAACCUGGGAAUUGCUUUUGAUACUGCUUAGCUAGAGUUUGGUAGAGGAUAGUGGAAUUCCAGGUGUAGCGGUGAAAUGCGUAGAUAUCUGGAGGAACAUCAGUGGCGAAGGCGACUGUCUGGACCAAAACUGACGCUGAGGUGCGAAAGCGUGGGUAGCAAACAGGAUUAGAUACCCUGGUAGA